UACAGAGGCCUCGAGCGUUAGGCGGAAUCACUGGGCUUAAAGCGUGUGUAGGCGGAGUUCUAAGUACCUUGUGAAAUCCCACGGCUCAACCGUGGAACUGCUGGGUAUACUGGUUGUCUUGAGCCAGCUAGGGGCGAGCGGAGCAGACGGUGGAGCGGUGAAAUGCGUAGAUAUCGUCUGGAACGCCGAAGGUGAAAACAGCUCGCUGGGGCUGCGCUGACGCUGAGACACGAAAGCCAGGGGAGCGAACGGG
rnacentral:rRNA from 1 species